AAGUCGUAACAAGGUUUCCGUAGGUGAACCUGCGGAAGGAUCAUUACUAGAGCAAAGGACAGGCAGCGCCCCACAGAAGCUUGCUUCGUGGCGGGCUACCCUACUCCGGUAGGGUUUAGAGUCGUCGAACCUCUCGGAGAAGUUCGGUCCUGAACUCCACCCUUGAAUAAAUUACCUUUGUUGCUUUGGCAGGCCGCCUAGUGCCAACGGCUUCGGCUGUUGAGUGCCUGCCAGAGGACCACAACUCUUGUCUCUAGUGAUGUCUGAGUACUAUAUAAUAGUUAAAACUUUCAACAACGGAUCUCUUGGUUCUG
rnacentral:misc_RNA from 1 species